UGGCUCAGAGGUUAAGAGCUCUGGCUGUCAUCCAGAGGACCUGAGUUCAAUUCCCAG
rnacentral:tRNA from 1 species